UUGUUCAGCUGUCGAGGAAAAAAAAUAUUGCACCCAAAACAAACAAGUCGUUAGUACUUCUCCAAUACUAUUAGUAAUAGGAACUUUGAUAUUUAAAAUUCAUUUAUCAUCCAUUCUGGAUUGUAAUACUCGUUGGUUUACAAUGCCUACUUACGUGGCUUAUAAUUGCACCUCCAGAACCGGAACCUUUUCUCAAUCCUUCAGGACUAAGAAUAACGAGGGUCAGCAUUAUUCUCACCAUAAACUAGAGGAGAGAUAUGGAAGGCCUAAUAUCGAAUUUCUUAGUUUUUUCAUAUUUCCAAAAAAUCCUGAGCUUCGUAAUCGCUGGUUGAUUAACUGCCGGAGUGAAAAUUGGAAUCCCUCUAAGUAGUCCAGAAUUUGUUCAAAACAUUUCAAGAAGGAUUUAAUCAUUCGACAUAAAGUCAAGUGUAGUCUUGUUGAUGGAGUAGUACCAACUGUUUUUGAUUUUCCAAAGCACUUAAUUAUUCAAAAAUCAAUAAUUUGUAC
rnacentral:lncRNA from 1 species